rnacentral:lncRNA from 1 species
AUAGCGAAUUAUUUCGCUAUUCCGGUCACUUAGCUGAAUUAGUGGAUCGAGUAGAAUUUUAGUAGGCAUGUGUGUUGAUGAAAUAAUUUAAUCACUUAUAAAGAUGUAGUAUAAUUUAUAAGGCAAGGGAUUAGUUCAGAAUUAAAUUAAUUAACUGAUAAGUUAUGAUUAGGCUAAUUGUAUUUCGUGUGUAUAGUUUGUUGUUCGUGAUGUUUGUGUUAGGUUCGAGAAGCGUAAUUAUUGCGCUUAGUUGUACGUCUGUAACUAGUGUUUCCGUAUAAAAUUAUACAACGCCUCGCCGAUCGGUGUUUAAAUUCGCCAUCGCGUAGCACUAUUUAGGGUUUUUGAUAUUCCUGUCUAUAUGCAUUCAUAUGCAUAAUGCAUUUCAUUCAGGUACGUUAAUUAAUCGCGCGAUGUGGAAGACAAGCCAAGUCGACCCCAAGCGCGGGCUAAUCCGCAGGAUGAUGCUGAUGGACAAACCUGAAAAUGGCCGCCAAGUGGACGUCGUCUAACAACACUAACCUAGUGUUACCCAGGCAAGCCCAGGUGCAUGCAACCCUUUCCUUGUGUUUUUAAAUAAUUUUCGCACACUUUAAGUCUAGUGAAAUGUGCAUUAGGUUCAUAGGAGUUGCUUGGAACCCUUUGAUGCAUUACUUUCCUUGAUAUCCAUACCUUUAUAGAUACUUCUGUGAAGUAUCAAAAUAUGAUUUACAAAAAUGCUUAGUCUUGCUUAGAUCUUGUGGAUAGAGGUUGUCCUUAGCCUAGCUCGAGAAAGGAUGACUUCUACCUGCAAGAAUAUUUUCAUUUGGAGCAAUGGUGGGAUCUUACUGCAAAGUUCCCUGUGAUGCUCUUUUCAUCCUAAGGAACAGAAACAAUCCUAAGGAUGAAAAUACUUAAAUUGAGACUUGGGUUAGGAACAGGUGAUGUUCUACCCAGGUUGAUUAAGGAUUGAAUGCGUAUGUAGGCGUGCUGAUCGAGGACCCUUUAACUGGUCACAUGCCUCAUCAUGGGUAAGCCUUGCCUCGGGCAGACUAAGGCCAGAAUAAGAUAACACGAAAUGGGCGUGGAGCGGUGGCGAGAGUAGCGUGUACCCUCCGUGGCAAGAGGCUGGACGGUGGUGUAUCUGUGCUCUCGGUUUGCGUGAACCUGAUCUGGUCUUAAGAACCUCGGUGGCGGGUUGACAUAUGCAAGGGUUAAGUGCUACAUAUGUCGUGUGAUUGGAGAUCCUCAGCUGAGUAUAAUCGAUUCGGAUCGCCGUACCUUCGCGGUUAUGAAGACUUGGUCACUUCCCUACAACCUAAGUCAGGAUGCGAACUUCAUGAAUAAAAAUGAUAUUGUAUUAAUGAAAUGAUAAAAUUAGACUAGAGGCAAACAGAGUCUAUUAAUAUUUAAUCUGACGUUAAAAUGUUGAAAGUAAGGACUCACUUUAGUAAGCUAUUUCUGCAAAAGUAUCUAAGUUGAUUUUUGCUAAAGCCUCUCCUUGACUCCUAUUUAUCCAGCAUACCCUUGAGAGUCUUUUCCUUAGUCGGGUAAGACUUGCUGAGUAAUUCCAUACUCAGGGUUUUAUUCCCUGUUGUUUUUCAGGUUCUAACUUUGUGCUGUUGUUGAUGGGGUUAAGUGCCGGUGGGCUCGGCCUUCUUAUAAGUCUAAGUAACCCUUCUAUACUUCUUAUUGAGGAUGAUCCCUUGAGCUAGCAUAUAUUUCAAACUUAUACUUUUGUAACCACUCCGAUAAACUAAUGUAAAAUUUUUGUAACCUGUAAAAUUUGGUAGUAAGAUUUCCGCUGCAACAAUAUUGGUGUGUGUGAUUUGUGUUACUUAAUCCCGCGGUUCUGGUUGUAAGUGGUUUAUCCGAUGUCCUUGGGGCAAUCGGACGGAUCCUGUUAAGUUAUCUGGUGCACAUGCAUAGCAGUCUGAGGUCUUUGAGACAAGGACAGGUGCAUGUGGGCCCAAUAACUUGGGAGGUUCUGCCACAGCUGGUAUCGGAGCUGGAUUAAGUAUAUACGGUCACAUACAUAUUUUCAAAACAAAGGUUUUGGUUUUGAAAACCCUAUUUUCAACUAAACACAUUCUUUGGCUUUGAAAAACAGCUUUGAAAAACUAUAAUGCUAGCGACAUCCUCUGUUAAGCCCUAAGUUAAGGACUAUUAGGUGGCUUAUUUAAAAACCACUAACCCACAACCGGGUGGGUAUUGCAUACAUGUGUAUUGUUAUUUUUAAGGCCAUUCAGUUUUGAAUGGAUCGACGCUCAGGUAAGGUGAGAUGUGAGAGCAUGACCGAACAACCGUCGGUCUAGGGGAGUGCUUAAUUGUGGCGCUUGAUUAUAUACAUGUUCCACAUAUGUAUAUAUGAAGGCUGCGAUAUGGAGUAUUUUCUUUUCUGGGAAUUCAGUACCCCAUGUGUGUGUAUGGGUAUACAGACAUGGGAAUACUGAGAAGUGUAAUGUACUUGUAACGACGCACUUACGCUCAGGUAAGAAGGUGAGUUACCAUAAUGGGUUGCCCUAUGGUUAAAGUGUGGCAACAGCGCCUAUGCGUGGCUCGGCGCUUAAUGAUGAGCUGGCCUCCAUAUAGCAAUAUAUGGAGUAUAAACUGUGAUAAACUGUCAUGUGUGACUUGCAUCAUUAGGAAAAUGGGCUGUGAUGAAAUUUUCUGCAGGUACCCUAACCUCGAAAACGUAUGUGUAGCUGACGACUAGCAAAAUACCGUGAGAGUCGUAAGUAUGCCACCGAGAUAGAACGCUAUUGCCAUAUUAAAUUGGCAAAAAUUCGUGAGGACGUGUAGGACGAGCAUGCAUCCUGAUUGUUGCAUUAUGUUUGUCACCUAUACACCCAAAAUGCUUCUCUCACCUUUAUUCUAAUAACCGGUGAUUGUAGAUAAUGUGGUGUAAUGUUGUAUUGUGAACUUCGAUAAAAUAGUUGUCCUCCGUUCUUUAGGUAACCUGUUAAGGUGUUAUAUGUGUUUGCUCUUGUGCUUGAUGUGUUGAUAGAAAGUUGGUAAUUGUUCGCCUAAACCCAGAACUAGGCCAUGUUCUUAUUUAGUGAACUAUGACCCCAAAGUUGAAUUCUCCAUUAUCACUCCAUGACCAAACUCAUGCAAAUAAAUGCGUAGACAAUUUCCUUAUUGGACAUAAAAUGUACCUAAGCUUAAAACAAGUAUCUCAAGUCAUGUCUUCUUCUAGAACCAUUCCUUUGUUCAGUUGAUGCCUUGGUUUCCUCAUGUUUAUCGAAGGCAUAUCAACUUAAUCCUUGACCUUGUGAUCUCUACGGUGGACAUAGAAAUAUGCUUGGGGCUGAAUUAACAGUUUCCCAUCGUACUCCUUCCAACAAGUUUAUGUUAUGGCCAUACCUUGUCCGUUUCAUCGGGCCAUGAUCUAUCUGGUCUCUACUUAUAACCGUUCUUACAGGUAGAGUAUCUCUUUGUAUAUUAUCACCCUUGCCCAGUCUAAUUGUGUUGUGCGAGAUUUCUUAUUGGUUUUGUCUGGUAAUGGUGUUAUGACUAAAACCGGUGGUGCCGUGACGAAACCGAGGGCCUUCUGUGUGUGCGCACACAUGGUCGUGCUGCUCGGCAUGCGCUGGUAUCACGGUUAGUAGUUGUAAUCCAUUAUGAGACUAUAUCAAUGUGUUAUUUUGGCACAAUCUAGUUUUAACACGUGAGAUUCAUUAUUGGUGCCAGUUCGGUAAUGGUGUCACGAUUAAUGACUUAUGGUGCCGCAGCGAAACUGAGAGCCCCUUGUGAAUGUACAUGCAAGGUUAUGCUGCUUGGCGCAUGCUGGUAUCAAGGUCCCUAGUCAUGAUCCAUUGUGGAACUACACUGAUGUGUUAUCUUUCGUGGACCUUCCCUUGAAACAAAUUCUAUGUUGUUUGUGAAGUGAUCAAGCAACAUAUAUCAUCUUUAUUGGAUCCAAAAAGGGCAUACCACUUUCGUGUGUGGUCUCUUUUCUUUGAUCUUGAUAGUGAUUACUUGUACAAGUUCCCUUUACAUCCUUUGUGUAAAGGUGAAACCUUGGAGCUUUUUAGUGUUGGAAGACAGCUGAUUAGCUCUAAAAUGGAGAUUGAUUUUCCCUACAGCUGAAAUGCAGGAGUUUGUCCAGUUGUUCUCUUACUUAAUCCAUGUAUUCCCUAACCAAGUGGAUGAUUCAUCUCGCCUGAAGAAACGGAUGAACAACCUGACCAAAUGGAUUUCUACCCAAAUGCAUGAUCAACUGUUAACAAGAGUGAACUCUCAACCCUUGGCUUACCGAUGGUACUGAGAGGGCUUGCUCAAUGUCAAAAGUAGUUCAACAAGUUGGUUUUACUAACUCACUUUGGUUCAACCCAUCUUAAGGAAGUACUUUCAAGAAUCGAGAUUAAGUCGACCAGAAACCACCUAGUUAUCGCUCUAGUCAUGCCUCGAUCGCCUCACGUGUGCUUUUCCAGCAUGUGUGAUCAAGUCGAGCCAUGGUUAGUACUUGCUAAAAUGGAUUGGUUGCAAAGACAACAUCUACAGAUCCCUCCGCUGGUGAUUCUCUCGAAUCUAUAUCACCUUUCAGGGACUUGGAUUUUCUGGCUAGCCACGCGUCAACUGUGAUGUUAUUCGGCAUUCACACCCGUCUCGUGUGCUAUGAAUUUCCUGUAACCACUUGUUGGUAAACUCCUUUUGUGUGUUUUACCCAAGAGGUUGCAUCUGAUUCUGUUAGGAUAAAAUCGCAUAAUUACCUCUCGCUCAACAGACUCAGAUAGUACAGUGUCAUCAGAAAAAGCGAACUGCACACAUGGAACCUUAUGUGUUCCUUUGGCAGAUAUCGUCUCUAUUGGUGGACAUUUCUAAAUUAGCCUAAGGCGAUACAUGUUAUGCCCACUAGAGAAGCAACAUUCCGAGACACUCGCCUCUGCUUGGAACUGCCAUAUAAUUAUCGCUGAUAUGGACAUGGGUUACAUGCUUCUCUACUCUUAGAAGUCUUUCGCUCCGAAUCUCGGGACGAGAUUCUUUUAAGGGGGGAGGGUUGUAACACCGCAGGUGUUUAUAUUCCGCUCGACAACGAGUACGGAUUUAAGCACGUAAUAUCAGUAAAUAAAACAGAUACUUUAUUCUAAUUAUUUUCACCAUCGCGAUUUUAGGAUCGCAUCUGUUUCGUCUGUCGCGAGUGCGACGUCGUUUUUAUUUUCAUCUAUUUAGGCUCGUCCUAAAUUUUCGUGAUGUUCGGAACAUAGCUGUUCCGAAAAUCGGUGCGUCCAGUGAUUAUUUAAAAUUCAUCGCUCGCGCGAAUACGAAUUCGGAAGCCCGACCCACUCGGAUGAUUUUUAUCCUGAGCAAAUUAGUGUGAACUUAACAACUAAAAUGUUCGGGGUAAAAUAAUUUGUAUCGCGCAUUGUCCGAGAAAAAUCGUGCGCAAAGUUAUUAUCCAAUUUAUUCUUCGGCACACUCUGUAAAAUAAUAAAAUCAACUGUGUUUAGACAUCGGAUAAAUUUUUAUCCGAGAUCGACUAAAUCAGUAUUGUCUCAAAAUAAUGUAUCUGAUAUCCAGUCCGUUUCCGUGUUGCCGAAAUCAGCUUAUUUCGGUCUGUCGUUUCUUGACCGAUCCAAAACCUCGGAUAAAUAACUAGUAAAAAUUCAUCUGAUUCCGAGAGUGUUCACCAUAUUGAAUUCGCUGAUGUUAUUUUCAUCAAACACAUUUGUGCCUCUUUUAAACCCUAGAAAUUAGAUUUGUCUCUAUAUCUACAUUAACUAAAUGCAGAAAAUAUCUUUCUAUCCUAUCCAGCUAUCGUGUAGACUUGGCCUCAUCCUCUAAUUACUCCACACGUCUUCUAUUAUUCUUAUUUUCUAUACGUUCCUAUCCUCUAGCUGAUAUUUUCUGCACAUGAAGUCCUCCCUCACAAAUCUCUGCUUGCUCGGCAUUAGAAGCUCGCACACGUCCCUCUCCCUCUUGUAUUUUCUCUCCAUUAGUCUCCACAACGUUCCUGAUAUAUACAACGUUCCUGAUAUUUUUCAUCAGAUUGAUUUUUUCCCUUGAACGGUUGAGCCUCAUCCUUCCCACCGCUCUUUCUCUGUUAUAUUUCCUUGGCAUCAUAAACAUACGAAUUAGUGGAACCAAGGUUUAUAUAAAAACAAAAACAAGAAAUUUCAAUAUGUUAUUUUUAUCGACCUUAUCCCAUGCUGCCCAGAAGUAUCUCACCACCGCUUUAUUCAGUCUUAUCCUCCUGAUGCCCUCGCUCAUGUGAAAUAUCCUUAACGUCUUCUCCUCCUACGCAGAUAUAUUCACUACUAGGCGCAUUUCCUUUCUUCCCAUUGCGCAACACCCCCGCGGUAGUAUCCAACUGGUCGUCAGCUUGUCGCUCUCCGUCCUGGACAUCGCUCCCAGCACACUCGUCCUUGGCUCGGCAUCCCCCUCGAGCUCGUCCUCUCCUCAUCUCCAUGGUCGUCGUAUCUGCUCCUCCGUUCAAGCUAUUUAGGUCCGGCCGUCGAUGCGUCCAUGGGUCUCCGGCCUUGCUUGCCCGUCGCACGCGAGGCUGACUCUCUGCCUCGCUGUGCUCGUCGGGGUCACCCUCCAUGCUGGUGCUCACCCUUAUGGCGUCCCUCGUCUCCCUGGGCUCCUUUUGUCGCGUCCAGUUCUAGUCACUGUUAUCCGCUGAACCACCGUCGCGCCGGGUUGCCCCUGAUUCGUGGAAUUCACCGGCUUUCCCGUGCGCAGUCGCGGAUGCCGUCGCUCGGCCCUUGUGUCUUGCUGAGCUCAUCACCGUCGCUUAUCCCUAACGCUCGUCAUGGACCUCGUCGUCGGCCUACGUUGUAUCCACGACAUGCUUGUCGACUCUGAUGAUCUGUUUUCCAAUUGCGUGCUGCCUACGUCGAUUUUCGGAACUCCUUGCCGUGCUCGACUCUGCAAGUCUCCAACUCGUUGUUAUUCGUGCAUCCCCAAGAGAUCCCAAGAAUCGGGUGAAGACGAAGUUAACAGCGCGAUAUUCCCCCAAGCGCUCGACAAAUUGCUUGGAUCGGAAAAUCGCUACCGAUCUCGUAGAUUCAUCUCAUCUGUGGAAACGGUAAGCUGAUAAAUUAUUUAGAAUAGUUCGAUCGUUGAAUAAAUUAAUGUGUUAGUGCGAGGCUUAUUAAGGUGCUCGAUAAAUUGCGUGAGUCACGAAACUCUCGUCGACUUCGCAGUUCUUGUGAUUAUCGAGCCAGAUUCAGCUAUAGCGAAUUAUUUCGGUAUUCCGGUCACUUAGCUGAAUUAGUGGAUCGAGUAGAAUUUUAGUAGGCAUGUGUGUUGAUGAAAUAAUUUAAUCACUUAUAAAGAUGUAGUAUAAUUUAUAAGGCAAGGGAUUAGUUCAGAAUUAAAUUAAUUAACUGAUAAGUUAUGAUUAGGCUAAUUGUAUUUCGUGUGUAUAGUUUGUUGUUCGUGAUGUUUGUGUUAGGUUCGAGAAGCGUAAUUAUUGCGCUUAGUCGUACGUCUGUAACUAGUGUUUCCGUAUAAAAUUAUACAACGCCUCGCCGAUCGGUGUUUAAAUUCGCCAUCGCGUAGCACUAUUUAGGGUUUUUGAUAUUCAUGUCUAUAUGCAUUCAUAUGCAUAAUGCAUUUCAUUCAGGUACGUUAAUUAAUCGCGCGAUGUGGAAGACAAGCCAAGUCGACCCCAAGCGCGGGCUAAUCCGCAGGAUGAUGCUGAUGGACAAACCUGAAAAUGGCCGCCAAGUGGACGUCGUCUAACAACACUAACCUAGUGUUACCCAGGCAAGCCCCGGUGCAUGCAACCCUUUCCUUGUGUUUUUAAAUAAUUUUCGCACACUUUAAGUCUAGUGAAAUGUGCAUUAGGUUCAUAGGAGUUGCUUGGAACCCUUUGAUGCAUUGCUUUCCUUGAUAUCCAUACCUUUAUAGAUACUUCUGUGAAGUAUCAAAAUAUGAUUUACAAAAAUGCUUAGCCUUGCUUAGAUCUUGUGGAUAGAGGUUGUCCUUAGCCUAGCUCGAGAAAGGAUGACUUCUACCUGCAAGAAUAUUUUCAUUUGGAGCAAUGGUGGGAUCUUACUGCAAAGUUCCCUGUGAUGCUCUUUUCAUCCUAAGGAACAGAAACAAUCCUAAGGAUGAAAAUACUUAAAUUGAGACUUGGGUUAGGAACAGGUGAUGUUCUACCCAGGUUGAUUAAGGAUUGAAUGCGUAUGUAGGCGUGCUGAUCGAGGACCCUUUAACUGGUCACAUGCCUCAUCAUGGGUAAGUCUUGCCUCGGGCAGACUAAGGCCAGAAUAAGAUAACACGAAAUGGGCGUGGAGCGGUGGCGAGAGUAGCGUGUACCCUCUGUGGCAAGAGGCUGGACGGUGGUGUAUCUGUGCUCUCGGUUUGCGUGAACCUGAUCUGGUCUUAAGAACCUCGGUGGCGGGUUGACAUAUGCAAGAGUUUAGUGCUACAUAUGUCGUGUGAUUGGAGAUCCUCAGCUGAGUAUAAUCGAUUCGGAUCGCCGUACCUUCGCGGAUAUGAAGACUUGGUCACUUCCCUACAACCUAAGUCAGGAUGUGAACUUCGUGAAUAAAAAUGAUAUUGUAUUAAUGAAAUGAUAAAAUUAGACUAGAGGCAAACAGAGUCUAUUAAUAUUUAAUCUGGCGUUAAAAUGUUGAAAGUAAGGACUCACUUUAGUAAGCUAUUUCUGCAAAAGUAUCUAAGUUGAUUUUUGCUAAAGCCUCUCCUUGACUCCUAUUUAUCCAGCAUACCCUUGAGAGUCUUUUCCUUAGUCGGGUAAGACUUGUUGAGUAAUUCCAUACUUAGGGUUUUAUUCCCUGUUGUUUUUCAGGUUCUAACUUUGUGAUGUUGUUGAUGGGGUUAAGUGCCGGUGGGCUCGGCCUUCUUAUAAGUCUAAGUAACCCUUCUAUACUUCUUAUUGAGGAUGAUCCCUUGAGCUAGCAUAUAUUUCAAACUUAUACUUUUGUAACCACUCCGAUAAACUAAUGUAAAAUUUUUGUAACCUGUAAAAUUUGGUAGUAAGAUUUCCGCUGCAACAAUAUUGGUGUGUGUGAUUUGUGUUACUUAAUCCCGCGGUUCUGGUUGUAAGUGGUUUAUCCGAUGUCCUUGGGGCAAUCGGACGGAUCCUGUUAAGUUAUCUGGUGCACAUGCAUAGCAGUCUGAGGUCUUUGAGACAAGGACAGGUGCAUGUGGGCCCAAUAACUUGGGAGGUUCUGCCACAGUAAUGAUGGCGCCUCCUGUUGACGUGGUCGGUCCGUGGUGCCCUAGGUUGAGCGAUGUGGAGGCUCCUCCGAGGUCGAGGUCGAGUCUGUCUUCCGUGGCCGAGGUCGAGUCCGAGCCCCUGGGUCGGGCGAGGCGGAGACCGUCGGCUGAGGCCAGGGCUGAGUCCGAGCCCUGGGGUCGGGCGAAGCGGAGUUCGUCGUCUUCUGGGCUGAGCCCGAGUCCGAGCCCUGGGGUCGGGCGGAGCGGAGUUCGUCAUCUUCCGGGGCUGAGCCCGAGUUCGAGCCCUGGGGUCGGGCGAAGCGGAGUUCGUCGUCUUCUGGGGCUGAGCCCGAGUCCGAGCCCUGCGGUCGGGCGAAGCGGAGUUCGUCGUCUUCCGGGGCUGAGCCCGAGUCUGAGCCCUGGGGUCAGGCGAAGCGGAGUUCGUCGUCUUCCGGGGCUGAGCCCGAGUCCGAGCCCUAGGGUCGGGCGAAGCGGAGUUUCCUAUGGUGCCUGAGGCCGGGCCUGGCGGCUGUCAGCCUCACUCUGUCAAGUGGCACAGCAGUCGGUGCGGCACAGGCGGCGCUGUCCUCUUGUCAGACCGGUUAGUUUAGCGGCGAAGUGACUGCGGUCACUUUGGCUCUAUCGACUGGAGGGCGCGCGUCAGGAUAAAGGUGUCAGGCCACCUUUGCAUUAAAUGCCCCUGCGAUUUGGUCGGUUGGCGUGGCGAUUUGGCCAAGGUUGCUUCUUGGUGAAGACUGGGCCUUGGGCGAGCCGAAGGUGUGUCCGUCGCUGGAGGGGGGCCUCGGGCGAGACGUAGAUCCUCCGGGGUCAGCUGCCCUUGCCCGAGGCUAGGCUCGGGCGAGGCGUGAUCGAGUCCCUUGAACGGACCGAUCCUUGACUUAGUUGCACCCAUCAGGCCUUUGCAGCUUUAUGCUGAUGGGGGUUACCAGCUGAGAAUUAAGAGUCUUGAGGGUACCCCUAAUUAUGGUCCCCGACAGGUACGCACAAUGAAUUUGACUCGUUAUAGGAAAACACCGAUUCAAUCUACAACUGAGGUAAUUAAUUGACAUGGCGUCGUGGAGUAACAAACCGACGAAUCAGAUCAGGCGGCUACGGUCAGACAACAGAAGGCGAACUCAUUUUUGAAAUUGCAAUCCAUAAAAUGGACCAGGAACUCGAACCGUUCACCUGAUAGCACGUGACGGGGAUAUCCACUAUGGAUGCAGCGAGAGGUGCUUCCUGCCUGCCACCCUCGUCCACCACCUGCAUGGCCUUAGCCACCUUGGCACGCAUGACUGUCCCUCGACUGUCGUCGGUCAGGCGUCCACCUAGUGCAGCGGAGGACACAUUGACAUUUCCCGACGACCCCUGGGUGAAGCACCAUCAUGGCCGUGGAGGCCACAUGAUUGGCAUCACGAGGCAUCCGUCCGGGAGACCGCAACGGCGUGACGGAUAGACGAUGAUGUGUGCGGGGUUGGGAUCUUCUGGGCCAGAGACGGGCGCGCAAGAUCAUUGUGCGACAGGCUCUGGCGACGGUCACUGUGGGCCUUUCGUGGGUUGCAAAUGCCGAUAAGCAUGGGUGUGACAUGUGAAGCAGUGAGAGAAACAGACGCAGGUGUGGCGCUCAACCUGCUGUGAAACGACGUGCGGGAGCGUGCACGGCGUGAACCUCACGAACCCCAACCUACCUCUCCUACUCUUGGGGAAGCACGAGAGGCGACUAGCCUUCUCCUCGCCGAUGCCCUAGGCCGAUGCAGCCAAGGCGGGUGUUGUGUCGAGCCCUUGCGCGCGUCUCGCGGGGGUUUGUUGGGUAGUGGGUAUAGUGCAUGGGCUGAAGUGCGUGUUGAUUUGAAAAGAUGGCAAGGGGUUUUCUGUAAAAAUAUGACGCAAGACGACCAUUGAAACUAGUGCUUUAAUCUUUACUACUCUAUAAGCCUCUAAUGUAGACCAUCCGUGCACCAUGUUCUGCCUCUCACCUCUCCCGGCUGCCCCUGUCGCUUUCCUCGUCUUCUUCGUGGCAUUGCAGUUCGCGCUGGUCCUGUGGUGUCGCCGGUGGCACCUCGUCUUCUUCAUGGCAUUGCAGUUCGCGCUGGUCCUGUGGUGUCGCCGGCGCCGCCACAGGAACGAACAGGAUACCUCUGGUGGUGCGCAACAGUCGCUAAUGCCGCCGAGGGUCGGGUCCAGCAGGAGCAGAGGGCCUGGCAGCGUGGUGGUGGAGAACUUCACGCUGGACAUCCUCUGGUACCUUGUGUAGAUUAGAUCGACUGCUUUGUUUGACUGAUUUAAUACACUUGUCUAAUUUUUCGAACUUUGUAUGCUUUUGAAGCUUGUGUCUUAGGUACUACACAAGGUAAUUGAUUCAUUUAUAUAGUAAGUAGUUUUUGCUAGGAGAAACUCUUGAACUUAAAUCUUUUUGAUAUCAUUAGACUUCAUCAAUCAUGGUGCGACCUAUUAUUCUCAUGUAGAUGUUAUAAGGUCUCUUAGUCUUGUGGAAAAUCUGUUUUGCUCUCUUUGUGAAUGUCUAAACCGUAUCAAAUGCUUGUGGCUAUGCUUUAGUAGCGCUAAGAAGUCUGCAACUGUUGGUUGGUCAAGGGUGAUAUCUAUGUUUUAUAUUAAUUUUUAACUCUCGUGGCAACGCACGGGCACAUACCUAUUAUAUUAUAAAAGAUAAAGAAAUAUAGUUUUCCUAUAUUUUUUCUGAUCUUGCACCAACUAAUUUACAUCUGGUAUAUUUUCCUCUAUAUAUAUCCUCACAGAAAAUACGGCUCGGUAAAGCCCACACAAAUUUUCAACGAUCUCAGAACGUCCUCGUUUCGAUUUGGCAGAUGGACUUCAACCGAAACAUGGGCCUAGCUGAGGCUCGUUCUGUGCUGUCCGGGCCUCCGGCUUGAACUCGUUGCAUUUUCUUCCCUCGGCCGUCCGGUUCCUUCACGAAUGCGCAACAGGGGGCCCACAUACGCCGCGCUAACGGCACUCACCAUGCCCAUGAUGAUGAUGCAACGACCCAUCAAUGAUCGAUCUUCCCUUCCCAGCAGAGCAGUGCCACGCGCCGUGAUCGUCCCAUGCUUUCUAUUGAGAACUAUGUUACCACGGAUCACCAGAUCCGCUCCCUUCCCUUCCGUCAGCAGUAGAGGCGCAAGAAGCUGUAGAAUACCCGUCUCCCUUCCCAUAAGCACGACAGAGUAAACACACGAGACACAGGAUAUUGGGUUGGGCCUCUGGCCUCUUUCUCUUCUCUCUUCCAUAUGAGGGGUACAUGUUCUAUAUAUAGAGAGACGCGAUAGCCCUCAGGGCUAUAUUUGGUAUUUGCCCACAUAACCCUUCAUUAGGGUUUCUCAACACUCCCCCUUGGGCGAAUACCGCGACCAACACAUGCCUCGUUAAAAC